rnacentral:rRNA from 1 species
UGGGGAAUCUUGGACAAUGGGGGCAACCCUGAUCCAGCCAUGCCGCGUGAGUGAUGAAGGCCUUAGGGUCGUAAAGCUCUUUCGCCUGUGAAGAUAAUGACGGUAGCAGGUAAAGAAACCCCGGCUAACUCCGUGCCAGCAGCCGCGGUAAUACGGAGGGGGCUAGCGUUGUUCGGAUUUACUGGGCGUAAAGCGCACGUAGGCGGAUCGUUAAGUGAGGGGUGAAAUCCCAGGGCUCAACCCCGGAACUGCCUCCAAAACUAUUGGUCUAGAGUUCGAGAGAGGUGAGUGGAAUUCCAAGUGUAGAGGUGAAAUUCGUAGAUAUUUGGAGGAACACCAGUGGCGAAGGCGGCUCACUGGCUCGAUACUGACGCUGAGGUGCGAAAGUGUGGGGAGCAAACAGGAUUUAGAUACCCUGGUAGUCCACACCGUAAACGAUGAAUGCCAGUCGUCGGGUAGCAUGCUAUUCGGUGACACACCUAACGGAUUAAGCAUUCCGCCUGGGGAGUACGGUC